AGGAAUAUUGGUCAAUGGGCGGAAGCCUGAACCAGCCAUGCCGCGUGCAGGAAGACGGCUCUACGAGUUGUAAACUGCUUUUAUACGAGGGUAAAGGUAGAUACGUGUAUUUAUUUGCAAGUAUCGUAUGAAUAAGGAUCGGCUAACUCCGUGCCAGCAGCCGCGGUAAUACGGAGGAUCCGAGCGUUAUCCGGAUUUAUUGGGUUUAAAGGGUGCGUAGGUGGUUGAUUAAGUUAGCGGUAAAAUCUGUAGGCUCAACCUAUAUAAGCCGUUAAGACUGAUUGGCUAGAGAGAGGAUGCAGCAGGCGGAAUGUGUAGUGUAGCGGUGAAAUGCAUAGAUAUUACACAGAACACCGAUUGCGAAGGCAGCUUGCUAAGCCUUAUCUGACACUGAAGCACGAAAGCGUGGGUAGCGAACGGGAUUAGAUACCCCGGUAGUCCACGCAGUAAACGAUGAUAACUGGUUGUCGGCGAUAUAGUGUCGGUGACUAAGCGAAAGCGAUAAGUUAUCCACCUGGGGAGUACGACCGCAAGGUUGAAACUCAAAGGAAUUGACGGGGGCCCGCACAAGCGGAGGAACAUGUGGUUUAAUUCGAUGAUACGCGAGGAACCUUACCCGGGCUUGAAAGUUAGCGACGGAACCAGAGACGGUUCUUCCCUUAUGGGCGCGAAACUAGGUGCUGCAUGGUUGUCGUCAGCUCGUGCCGUGAGGUGUCGGGUUAAGUCCCAUAACGAGCGCAACCCCUGUUCUUAGUAGCCAGCGGUUCGGCCGGGCACUCUAGGGAGACUGCCAGGGAUAACCUGGAGGAAGGCGGGGAUGACGUCAAAUCAUCAUGCCCCUUAUGACUUGGGCUACACACGUGCUACAAUGGCGUAAACAAAGGGAAGCGGAGCCGCGAGGCCGAGCAAAUCUCAAAAAUAACGUCUCAGUUCGGACUGUAGUCUGCAACCCGACUACACGAAGCUGGAAUCGCUAGUAAUCGCAGAUCAGAAUGCUGCGGUGAAUACGUUCCCG
rnacentral:rRNA from 1 species